UACGUAGGGUGCGAGCGUUAAUCGGAAUUACUGGGCGUAAAGCGUGCGCAGGCGGUUCGUUAAGUCAGAUGUGAAAGCCCCGGGCUCAACCUGGGAACUGCAUUUGAUACUGAGGAUCUUGAGUACGGGAGAGGUGAGUGGAACUGCGAGUGUAGAGGUGAAAUUCGUAGAUAUUCGCAAGAACACCAGUGGCGAAGGCGGCUCACUGGCCCGUUACUGACGCUGAGGCACGAAAGCGUGGGGAGCAAACAGG
rnacentral:rRNA from 1 species